UACGUAGGUGGCAAGCGUUGUCCGGAUUUACUGGGCGUAAAGCGCGCGCAGGCGGUCGUUCAAGUCGCGUGUGAAAGCCCCCGGCUCAACUGGGGAGGGUCACGCGAUACUGCUCGACUUGAAGGCAGGAGAGGGAAGUGGAAUUCCCGGUGUAGUGGUGAAAUGCGUAGAUAUCGGGAGGAACACCAGUGGCGAAGGCGACUUCCUGGCCUGUUCUUGACGCUGAGGCGCGAAAGCUAGGGUAGCAAACGGG
rnacentral:rRNA from 1 species